AUGAACGCUGGCGGCGUGCCUAAUACAUGCAAGUCGAGCGAACAGAUGAGGAGCUUGCUCCUCUGACGUUAGCGGCGGACGGGUGAGUAACACGUGGAUAACCUACCUAUAAGACUGGGAUAACUUCGGGAAACCGGAGCUAAUACCGGAUAAUAUAUUGAACCGCAUGGUUCCAUAGUGAAAGACGGUUUUGCUUUCACUUAUAGAUUGAUCCGCGCCGCAUUAGCUAGUUGGUAAGGUAACGGCUUACCAAGGCGACGAUGCGUAGCCGACCUGAGAGGGUGAUCGGCCACACGGGAACUGAGACACGGUCCAGACUCCUAAGGGAGGCAGCAGUAGGGAAUCUUCAGAAAUGGGCGAAAGCCUGACGGAGAAACGCCGCGGGAGUGAUGAAGGUCUUCGGAUCGUAAAACUCUGUUAUUAGGGAAGAACAAAUGUGUAAGUAACUAUGCACGUCUUGACGGUACCUAAUCAGAAAGCCACGGCUAACUACGUG
rnacentral:rRNA from 1 species